AACGAACGCUGGCGGCAGGCUUAACACAUGCAAGUCGAACGGGCACCUUCGGGUGUCAGUGGCAGACGGGUGAGUAACGCGUGGGAACGUACCCUUCGGUUCGGAAUAACCCAGGGAAACUUGGGCUAACACCGGAUACGUCCGCAAGGAGAAAGAUUUAUCGCCGAAGGAUCGGCCCGCGUCGGAUUAGCUAGUUGGUGGGGUAAUGGCCCACCAAGGCGACGAUCCGUAGCUGGUCUGAGAGGAUGANCAGCCACACUGGGACUGAGACACGGCCCAGACUCCUACGGGAGGCAGCAGUGGGGAAUAUUGGACAAUGGGCGAAAGCCUGAUCCAGCCAUGCCGCGUGAGUGAAGAAGGCCUUAGGGUUGUAAAGCUCUUUCAGCGGGGAAGAUAAUGACGGUACCCGCAGAAGAAGUCCGGCUAACUUCGUGCCAGCAGCCGCGGUAAC
rnacentral:rRNA from 1 species